UUUAAAUAUGAUUCUAAUCAAAUUAGAACUAUGAAUUUGAUUCAAUCCAUAAUCAUUAAUUCUAAUCACAUUAGAAUAAUGAAUUAUAGUUAAACCAAUCUAUCGACAAAAAUCUUAAUCCAUGUCUGAUGCUACCUCUCCAUGACCAAAUUUUUUUUUCAGCAACACACAUUCCUCGAGCAACAACCAAAAUGAUCGACCCACAAUGAUAAGUACCCGAUAACAUGGUGGUCGGCCUUUGGAUCUAAAGUAGAUGCAUCAAAUAUAAGAACCUAAAGUCUUGGCAAUCUAUAUCUAUAUGUAGCAUUCCAAGGCUCUGCGCAUCACAUGCACUGGAUUUUAAUUCCAUCGAAA
rnacentral:lncRNA from 1 species